CACGUAGGGGGCAAGCGUUGUCCGGAAUCAUUGGGCGUAAAGAGCUCGUAGGCGGCUCAAUAAGUCGGGUGUGAAACCCCCAGGCUCAACCUGGGGACGCCACCCGAUACUGUUGUGGCUAGAGUCCAGUAGGGGAGUGUGGAAUUCCCGGUGUAGCGGUGAAAUGCGCAGAUAUCGGGAGGAACACCAGUGGCGAAGGCGGAUCUCUGGGCCUGUUCUGACGCUGAGGCGCGAAAGCUAGGGGAGCAAACGGG
rnacentral:rRNA from 1 species